AGAGUUUGAUCCUGGCUCAGAAUCAACGCUGGCGGCGUGCCUAACACAUGCAAGUCGAACGCGAGGGUCCCGCAAGGGACUAGUAGAGUGGCAAACGGGUGAGUAACACGUGGGUGACCUGCCUUCGAGUGGGGGAUAACGUCCCGAAAGGGACGCUAAUACCGCAUGACAUCCUGCCGUUGAAACCGGUGGAGAUCAAAGCUGGGGAUCGCAAGACCUAGCGCUUGAAGAGGGGCCCGCGUCCGAUUAGCUAGUUGGUGAGGUAACGGCUCACCAAGGCAACGAUCGGUAGCCGGCCUGAGAGGGCGGACGGCCACACUGGGACUGAGACACGGCCCAGACUCCUACGGGAGGCAGCAGUGGGGAAUUGUUCACAAUGGGCGCAAGCCUGAUGACGCAACGCCGCGUGGAGGAUGAAGAUCUUCGGGUCGUAAACUCCUUUCGAUCGAGACGAACGGCUUCCGGGCUAAUCACCGGGAGAGUGACGGUACCGAGAGAAGAAGCCCCGGCUAACUCCGUGCCAGCAGCCGCGGUAAUACGGGGGGGGCAAGCGUUGUUCGGAAUUACUGGGCGUAAAGGGCUCGUAGGCGGCCAACUAAGUCAGACGUGAAAUCCCUCGGCUUAACCGGGGAACUGCGUCUGAUACUGGAUGGCUUGAGGUUGGGAGAGGGAUGCGGAAUUCCAGGUGUAGCGGUGAAAUGCGUAGAUAUCUGGAGGAACACCGGUGGCGAAAGCGGCAUCCUGGACCAAUUCUGACGCUGAGGAGCGAAAGCCAGGGGAGCAAACGGGAUUAGAUACCCCGGUAGUCCUGGCCCUAAACGAUGAAUGCUUGGUGUGGCGGGUAUCGAUCCCUGCCGUGCCGAAGCUAACGCAUUAAGCAUUCCGCCUGGGGAGUACGGUCGCAAGGCUGAAA
rnacentral:rRNA from 1 species